AUUAUAUUCUUGCACUUUUUGGUUUCGAUAAGUGGCUCAGUAAGCACCAUUACUGAAAAUCUAAGAACUCUGGAAGCACAAUUACAGAUUUCCUAGCAAAACCAUUAUCUUCACCUAUUCUGUAUAGACUCCAAGGCCUGCCAGAAGUUCAUUAUUCAAAAAAUAUUUUCUCUACUGUUGCAUAGCUCAGGAAUGAAUGAGAAUGUGAG